rnacentral:rRNA from 1 species
GAUGAACGCUGGCGGCGUGCCUAAUACAUGCAAGUCGAACGAACGGACGAGAAGCUGUCUUCUCUGAUUUUAUCGGCGGACGGGUGAGUAACACGUGGAUAACCUACCUAUAAGACUGGGGUAACUUCGGGAAACCGUGGCUAAUACCGGAUGAUAUUUUGAACCGCAUUGUUCAAAAGUGAAAGACGGUCGUUCUGUCGCUUAUAGAUGGAUCCGCGCUGCAUUAGCUAGUUGGUAAGGUAACGGCUUACCAAGGCAACGAUGCAUAGCCGACCUGAGAGGGUGAUCCGCCACACUGGAACUGAGACACGGUCCAGACUCUUACGCGAGGAAGCAGUAGGGAAUCCUCCGCAAUGCGCGAAAGCCUGACGGAGCACCGCCGCGUGAGUGAUGAAGGUCUUCGGCUCGUAAAACUCUGAUAUUAGGGAAGAACAUAUGUGUAAGUACCUGUGAACAUCUUGACGGUACCUAAUCAGAAAGCCCCGGCUAACUACGUG